CCAUAUGAACAUCGGCCAUUUUAAUUCUAAUGUGGGUACUAUUUGGACAUCCUUUCUUUUUCCUUUGCAUAGAGUCAUUGUGGCAAAGUGUAAAUCUUUCAUAUUGAGGCUAAUAGUCUUUUGAGUGGGAGUAUAAGGAAGCUUUACUUGUAGACUUCAAAUACAUUAACAACUUUUUACACAUCUGGUAUGUGUAUAACAUAGUCUUGACGUACUAUUACAAAAUAGACUUUUCG
rnacentral:lncRNA from 1 species